AUUGAACGCUGGCGGCAUGCCUUACACAUGCAAGUCGAACGGCAGCACGGGUGCUUGCACCUGGUGGCGAGUGGCGAACGGGUGAGUAAUACAUCGGAACAUGUCCUGUAGUGGGGGAUAGCCCGGCGAAAGCCGGAUUAAUACCGCAUACGAUCCACGGAUGAAAGCGGGGGACCUUCGGGCCUCGCGCUAUAGGGUUGGCCGAUGGCUGAUUAGCUAGUUGGUGGGGUAAAGGCCUACCAAGGCGACGAUCAGUAGCUGGUCUGAGAGGACGACCAGCCACACUGGGACUGAGACACGGCCCAGACUCCUACGGGAGGCAGCAGUGGGGAAUUUUGGACAAUGGGCGAAAGCCUGAUCCAGCAAUGCCGCGUGUGUGAAGAAGGCCUUCGGGUUGUAAAGCACUUUUGUCCGGAAAGAAAUCCUUGACUCUAAUACAGUCGGAGGAUGACGGUACCGGAAGAAUAAGCACCGGCUAACUACGUG
rnacentral:rRNA from 1 species